rnacentral:rRNA from 1 species
CGCACGGGUGCGUAACGCGUGGGAAUCUGCCCUUGGGUUCGGAAUAACAGUUAGAAAUGACUGCUAAUACCGAAUGAUGUCGUAAGACCAAAGAUUUAUCGCCCAGGGAUGAGCCCGCGUAGGAUUAGCUAGUUGGUGUGGUAAAAGCGCACCAAGGCGACGAUCCUUAGCUGGUCUGAGAGGAUGAUCAGCCACACUGGGACUGAGACACGGCCCAG